AUUGAACGCUGGCGGCAUGCCUUACACAUGCAAGUCGAACGGCAGCACGGGAGCAAUCCUGGUGGCGAGUGGCGAACGGGUGAGUAAUAUAUCGGAACGUGCCCAGUAGUGGGGGGAUAACUGCUCGAAAGAGCAACUAAUACCGCAUACGACCUGAGGGUGAAAGGGGGGGAUCGCGAGACCUCUCGCUAUUGGAGCGGCCGAUAUCAGAUUAGCUAGUUGGUGGGGUAAAGGCCUACCAAGGCAACGAUCUGUAGUUGGUCUGAGAGGACGACCAGCCACACUGGGACUGAGACACGGUCCAGACUCCUACGGGAGGCAGCAGUGGGGAAUUUUGGACAAUGGGGGCAACCCUGAUCCAGCAAUGCCGCGUGAGUGAAGAAGGCCUCGGUUGUAAGACUCUUUGUCUAGGAAGAAAGGUACGUGGCGUAAUAUCACGACUGCUGACGGUACCUCGGAGAAUAAGACACCGGCUAACUACGUA
rnacentral:rRNA from 1 species